AACGCACGAGACCUGCGGACCUGCGGAAGGAUCAUUACCGAGUGCGGGCCCUCGCGGCCCAACCUCCCACCCUUGUCUCUAUACACCUGUUGCUUUGGCGGGCCCACCGGGGCCACCUGGUCGCCGGGGGACGUCGUCUCCGGGCCCGCGCCCGCCGAAGCGCUCUGUGAACCCUGAUGAAGAUGGGCUGUCUGAGUACUAUGAAAAUUGUCAAAACUUUUAACAACGGAUCUCUAGAUC
rnacentral:misc_RNA from 1 species